UUUAUUUAUUUAUUUAUUUAUUUAUUUAUUUAUUUUUUAUUAUUAUUUUGCAGUGAUAGCUCAACCACCAAAAUCAGUGAUUACAGCUCUACCACCAAAAUCAGUAAUUGAAGCUUCUCCACCAAAAAACUCAGUGAUUGGAGUUC